GCUUGUGUGGCGCAGUGGUUAGAGUAUCAGACCAGGACUGGGGAGAUUCUGGGUUCAAACCCCCGCUCAGCCA